rnacentral:tRNA from 2 species
GCGGGCGUAGCUCAGUUGGUAGAGCGUCAGCCUUCCAAGCUGAACGUCGCCGGUUCGAACCCGGUCGCCCGCUCCA